rnacentral:rRNA from 1 species
AUACGGAGGGUGCAAGCGUUAUCCGGAAUCAUUGGGUUUAAAGGGUCCGUAGGCGGACUAAUAAGUCAGGGGUGAAAUCCCACAGCUUAACUGUGGAACUGCCUUUGAUACUGUUAGUCUUGAGUUAUAUGGAAGUAGAUAGAAUGUGUAGUGUAGCGGUGAAAUGCUUAGAGAUUACACAGAAUACCGAUUGCGAAGGCAGUCUACUACGUAUAUACUGACGCUGAGGGACGAAAGCGUGGGGAGCGAACAGGAUUAGAAACCCUAGUAGUCC